AUAAGUGUUCCCAUGCGGUUAGCGCAGUAAGGCCCGUGGCGAGACCACCACGUUGAUAGGCCGGAAGUGUAAGCGUAGUAAUACGUUCAGCUGACCGGUACUAAUCGGCCGAGGGCUUGGUUAGAUA
rnacentral:rRNA from 1 species